CAGUCGCCGCGGGAAUACGUAGGGUGCAAGCGUUAAUCGGAAUUACUGGGCGUAAAGCGUGCGCAGGCGGUUAUAUAAGACAGAUGUGAAAUCCCCGGGCUCAACCUGGGAACUGCAUUUGUGACUGUAUAGCUAGAGUACGGCAGAGGGGGAUGGAAUUCCGCGUGUAGCAGUGAAAUGCGUAGAUAUGCGGAGGAACACCGAUGGCGAAGGCAAUCCCCUGGGCCUGUACUGACGCUCAUGCACGAAAGCGUGGGGAGCAAACAGGAUUAGAUACCCCGGUAGUCCCUGUCUCUUAUAA
rnacentral:rRNA from 1 species